AACGCACCUUGCGCCUCGUGGUAUUCCGCGAGGCAUGCCUGUUUGAGUGUCAUUAAAUUAUCAACCUCAAAAGCUUUAUAACUUUUGAUGGCUUGGACUUGAGGUGUGCUGGACUUUUAUUAGUUCGGCUCCCUUUUAAAUGCAUUAGCAGAGCAACUCGCUUCCGGCUAACAUUGACGUGAUAAUUAUCUUACGUCGUUGUCUACCGGUUCCAGAGUCUGCUUAUAAUGGUCUUAGGACAACACAUAAUGACAAUUUGACCUCAAAUCAGGUAGGACUACCCGCUGAACUUAA
rnacentral:misc_RNA from 1 species